AGUCGACGGUAGCACAGAGGAGCUUGCUCCUUGGGUGACGAGUGGCGGACGGGUGAGUAAUGUCUGGGAAACUGCCCGAUGGAGGGGGGUAACUACUGGAAACGGUAGCUAAUACCGCAUAACGUCGCAAGACCAAAGAGGGGGACCUUCGGGCCUCUUGCCAUCGGAUGUGCCCAGAUGGGAUUAGCUAGUAGGUGGGGUAACGGCUCACCUAGGCGACGAUCCCUAGCUGGUCUGAGAGGAUGACCAGCCACACUGGAACUGAGACACGGUCCAGACUCCUACGGGAGGCAGCAGUGGGGAAUAUUGCACAAUGGGCGCAAGCCUGAUGCAGCCAUGCCGCGUGUAUGAAGAAGGCCUUCGGGUUGUAAAGUACUUUCAGCGAGGAGGAAGGUGUUGUGGUUAAUAACUGCAGCAAUUGACGUUACUCGCAGAAGAAGCACCGGCUAACUCCGUGCCAGCAGCCGCGGUAAUACGGAGGGUGCAAGCGUUAAUCGGAAUUACUGGGCGUAAAGCGCACGCAGGCGGUCUGUCAAGUCGGAUGUGAAAUCCCCGGGCUCAACCUGGGAACUGCAUCCGAAACUGGCAGGCUAGAGUCUUGUAGAGGGGGGUAGAAUUCCAGGUGUAGCGGUGAAAUGCGUAGAGAUCUGGAGGAAUACCGGUGGCGAAGGCGGCCCCCUGGACAAAGACUGACGCUCAGGUGCGAAAGCGUGGGGAGCAA
rnacentral:rRNA from 1 species